ACCAACCCUUUGCUGGUGUUCUCUCUUACUGGGUAGAAAUGAAUGAUGAUUGAAGAUAAGAUCCGGAAAAAAAUACCAAAACCGCAGUAUUCAUCUGGUGACCAUUCAGGCCACCACUAGCAUUAUUAUAUCUGUACUGUUAAACAACAAUAUUGGUAAGUGGCAAAUUAAAAGUAGAAACUAAAAAUAUUUGUAUGGGAAUCAGAUACCCGGAAGAAGAUACUUGGUAAAAAGAAAUACAGUUGAUGUGGAAAGUAAUAUAAUACAUAGUUAAUCUGCUAUGAGUAGAUAGAUUUGUCCAUAUAGGCAGAAUGAUGAUCCUUAAUGCUAUCUGUACAAAGGCCUAGCAGUCAUAGACCUAUUUCUAGCAUCUCUCAGUGACAGUGAGUUUGCAAUCAGCAACUAUGCUGACACACCGCAGCUAGCAGUCAGCAGGAUGACAUUUCCAUUUCUGACUUGCUCCUAUUAAUGUGCAGGCUGGAGACAAAGCACUCAUUUUGAUAUCAAAGACUUGGAGUCAAUAGGACAGCAUUUCUGUGAUGCUCUCUUGAACUACUCUGGUGAUAAUAAGGAGGUAAGGAAAGUCCCUCUGAGGCUUUUCCUCCUUCCUCAGUUCAUCCUACUGUCACAAAACAUAAUCCUCCAUAGGGUUGCAGUAACAGUAAAUAUGCUAAUAGCUUUAAUUGAAACAUAUGUGGUUUUCUUAUCAUUAUCUGUGCCUGAAGGAACAUGAGAAGGUAGUGACACAGCAAGCUAAGGUGAGCUCCGAAGUCCUGAAUUCUGAUGCGUUAGACUGGGAUUCCAGGUAAUUUAGAACUAUUAAGAUAUACCACAUAUACAAGCAUAUAAAAUAAUAUAUGUUCUCUGCACCUUGUAAGGAAUGAAUAAAACUUCAGUAGAUCUCUUCUUUGAGGAAAUAUCAUGAGUUGGAUCGAUCUCAUCUUACUUUGGGUGGCCAGGGCAUACCAGUCAAAAGCUGAGUUUGAAAACUGAUGCUGAAAUGCAAGGAAAUAAAAGGAGACACAAAAUCUUAAUGCACCAUUAGAGGACUGAGAGAAAGCUCACUGGGCACAAAGAAGAUGAUGCUGUAUGGGAGGGCUUGGAAGGGGAAAGCACGUGAAGCAGAACUAAAAGAAGGCUGAGCAGAAGUGGGAGAUGCCACACGGAUAACCUGUAUGAAAGAGAUCUCCCAAUAACCAAGUUUUCUCUAAGAUGAUUGCGAUUUUUGCAAGUUAGCUGUAAAAUGAAAAUGUGGAUAUGGCAGACAGGUAUCUAGAAAACAUAUUUACAUCUCUACAACUAGAGUUACUACAGAAAAUACUUACUAGUGGUUGGAAUGAAUGCUGUAUAAUACUGUUUGCAAUCACCGAAUCUAGAAAUUAAAUAAAACAAUGCCCGUCUUUUACAGCAGCCAAUCUUCUGACAGCUCAGACUCAUAUGAUAUUGCUGCACACCGACUAAAGCUAGGUGCUAAGACCCCAGGCACUGAAAUUCAACAUAAGAUGUUUCAGGAACUUCACUCAGUAGACAGAGUAAAAUUGCCAAUGACAGCCUCUGCCAAACAAGUAGGAAAGUAUUUCAGCUCUGAAAGACUCACCUGUAAUGCUAACAGCAAUUGUGAAAAACCACCUGUGCCACGGGAGUCAGGAAAAAGUGUAUUUUGUGACAUAAUCCAAUCCAGAAGAGAAAAUUUCCAUACAUCCUGCUUUAAUUUGAUCUCUCAGAAGACAAAGAAACACAAUGGCAAAAGUGUCUCCAACUCCUCACAGAAGACAUUUCAGUAUUUAAAAGGUCACGAUCAUGGUGCAAAGAGCAAUUCAAAAAAGGAAGAACGGAAAACGGGGAGGCUCUCCUUAAAACCCAGAAGACUCGAGAAAAACAGGACAGCAAGACAAGCUGUACAGUUUAGGAAGAGUAAAUCCUGCCAGGCACAAAGCGCAUCACAGUUCUCCCUGCCCUUACUGCCUGAAGCAGAGAACAGACAACCUGCUGCAAAAUACCAGGAUGUGUUUUGGAGCCCCGGUUCUUCAGCUAAGAAAGGCAUGUGAAAGAGUCAUCUAUAUGAUUUACUUAAACAAUCCCCAGAACUCUGACUAUGGAUUAUGGCUAGCAGUGAGGGAGUACAUAACCUGCAGAAACAAAAAAUUCUUCUUGCCCUUUUCUUCUGAAAAAUUGUUCACACGCAGCUGACUAAUGUGCUUAUGAAGUUUCUCUCGCCAUGUGAAGAAAUAUCCCAAAUUCUAAACCAGUUUAUUUGGGAGUGUCUCCUCAGUAUAAAACAUCAUUCGUGUUAAACGAUACGUACUGAUUUUGUGGGGCAGUCUCCACUUCCAGAAGGAGCUGCAUGAAUAGCUGAGUGUCACCCACCCACCUCAACUCUAUUUGGAAGUCUUCCUAAGAUUCUAAAGGAGAGGGAUUAUUCACUGAGCAGCUGAAGCUACCAUUCACUGAUCAUAAGCCACGAGAAUCACUUCCCUUUUCACCAACAAAUAAAUUUUACAUGC
rnacentral:lncRNA from 7 species